rnacentral:rRNA from 1 species
GUUUUGGAUGAGUUGUGGUUAGGGGUGAAAGGCCAAUCAAACUUGUAUAUAGCUGGUUCUCUGCGAAAUGCAUUUAAGUGCAGUGUCGUUUUAGAAGUUUUUAGGGGUAAAGCACUGAUAAGUAUAGGGCGGAUUAACCAUCUGACUCUGAUUUAUUAAACUCUGAAUACUAAAAAUGAAUUUAUGGCAAUGGGUCUACGGGCGAUAAGGUUCGUGGACGAGAGGGAAAGAGCCCAGAUCAACAUCUAAGGUUUCUAAAUUUUAAUUAAGUGAAGCAAGACAGUCAUAUUAUGAAGACAGCCAAGAGGUAGGCUUAGAAGCAGCCAUCCUUUAAAGAAAGCGUAAUAGCUCAUUGGUCGAAUGUAAAAUGGCGUCGAGAAUUAAACGAAGCUAAAUUAAAUACCGAAGGUUUGAAUUUUUAUUGAAAAAUAAAAGUGGUAGCAGAGCGUUCUGUAGGUCGGAGAAGAUAUUUUGUAAAAAAUAUUGGAGAUAUCAGAAGUGAAGAUGCUGGCAUGAGUAACGUAUAAGCAUGUGAAAAACAUGCUCGCCGAAAGUCUAAGGUUUUUAGUGUAAAGAUAAUCUUCACUAAGUUAGUCGGUACCUAAGGUCGAUACGAAAGUUAAGAUCGAUGGAAAUCAGGUUAAUAUUCCUGAACAAGGUAGUAAACAUAUUUUACAAUUAGGCCAGCAAGGUCGAGAGAAUAAGCUGGAGGAGAUUAAGAGAUAUCAAGAAAAAAGCUAUCGUUCGCAAGAACAAUGCUGUACCAAAACCGACACAGGUAGACAGGUAGAAUAUACUAAGGCGAUGAAAUAAUGGUGUUGAAGGAACUCGGCAAAAUAACUUCGUAACUUCGGGAGAAGAGGUGACUUUUUGAGAAAAAAGUUUAAAUAAAGAGCGAGGGGCGACUGUUUAUCAAAAACACAGGUCUCUGCUAAAUUGAAAGAUGAUGUAUAGAGGCUGAUGCCUGCCCAGUGUCUAAAGGUGAAUCCGAGGAGUUAAAGCUCUGAGAGUAAAUCUAGAUAAACGGCAGCGGUAACCAUAACCGUUCUAAGGUAGCGAAUUUCCUUGUCAGGUAAAUUCUGACGUGCAUGAAUGGCUUAACGAUCCCUUGACUGUCUCCAACACCAUUUCAGUGAAAUUGACAUGCCUGUUCAAAUGCAGGCUAGUUAUAGAUAGACGGAAAGACCCUAUGCACCUUUACUAUAACCUCAUAUUGUUGUUUAAUAUUCUUUUAUGUAGGCUAAGAAGUAGGCAUUGAUAUUCGAAUGUAAAAAUUUGGAUUGAGCCGAAAGAUGAAAAACUUCUUUUAAGAUAUAAAACAACUAACCAUAAGGGACCAUGUGAGGCGGGUAGUUUCUUUGGGGUGAAGCACUCCCAAAAGAUAACGGAGUGGCACAAAGGUGAGCUUAAUUUGUAGUGAAAUCAAAUGAAUAAAUGUGUAAUGGCAUAUGCUCGCUUAACUGUAAGAUUGACAAAUCAAACAGAUUCGAAAGAAGGUCAUAGUGACCCAAUAAUUCCUAUGAAUGGGUUAUUGAUCAACGAAUAAAAGGUACGCUAGGGAUAACAGGCUAAUUCUUCCUGAGAGUUCUAAUCGAUGGGGGAGUUUGGCACCUCGAUGUCGACUUAUCACAUCCUGGAGGCGAAGAAGUUUCCAAGGGUUCGGUUGUUCGCCGAUUAAAGUGGUACAUGAGUUGGGUUAAGAUCGUCGUAAGACAGAUUGGUUCCUAUCUUCUAUAACCGAUUAAUGGUUGAGAGAUUUAGUCUUUAGUACGAGAGGACCAAGACUAAUAUACCGCUGGUUUGCCGGUUGUUUUAUCAAAGCAACGCCGGGUAGCUAUGUAUAUAGCGCAUAAUUAUUGAAAGCAUCUAAAUAAGAAGGCGCACUCAAGAGAAAUCAUAGAGCUGGUUUU